UCAAAGCUCGGCGGGGCGCGAAAGCCGAAUUUCGAGGAUGCUCAGUCAGAGGAGAAAAUUUUUACGCGGAAUUCAGUCCUUCCUUCUGAAAGGCAACAGUUAUUGGACGGGAGGGACUAAAAAUCACUUGGUGUCCUGACAAGAUUUGUUACUGUUGCUAAGAUCUUCAACUCUAAUGCUUUAAGGGAUAUGACUUCUGCAAACCCAGAAUUUUCGGAUUACUUCUAAGCUUGAAGCCCCCUUGGAUUAGAACCCUGGCCUGAAUCUCUAGGAGCAAAGAUGGAUGCGAGGCUACUAUAACAGGCACUUGGAAUGACGCUGUCCCUCAGACACUAGCCCAGUUGCCUAUUUGAAGAUAAUUCUUCAUGAAUUUGACAUUUCUACACAUAUGGUGACUGUGGCCCUGACUGCCCUUUGUUCUGGGCUAUCUCUUCAAGAUGUUUGUUUGGCUGGGCGCCUGGGUGGCUCAGUGGGUUAAGCCGCUGCCUUCGGCUCAGGUCAUGAUCUCAGGGUCCUGGG